GAUGAACGCUGGCGGCGUGCCUAAUACAUGCAAGUCGAGCGAAUGGAUUAAGAGCUUGCUCUUAUGAAGUUAGCGGCGGACGGGUGAGUAACACGUGGGUAACCUGCCCAUAAGACUGGGAUAACUCCGGGAAACCGGGGCUAAUACCGGAUAACAUUUUGAACCGCAUGGUUCGAAAUUGAAAGGCGGCUUCGGCUGUCACUUAUGGAUGGACCCGCGUCGCAUUAGCUAGUUGGUGAGGUAACGGCUCACCAAGGCAACGAUGCGUAGCCGGCCUGAGAGGGUGAUCGGCCACACUGGGACUGGGACACGGCCCAGACUCCUACGGGAGGCAGCAGUAGGGAAUCUUCCGCAAUGGACGAAAGUCUGACGGAGCAACGCCGCGUGAGUGAUGAAGGCUUUCGGGUCGUAAAACUCUGUUGUUAGGGAAGAACAAGUGCUAGUUGAAUAAGCUGGCACCUUGACGGUACCUAACCAGAAAGCCACGGCUAACUACGUGCCAGCCGCCGCCGUAA
rnacentral:rRNA from 1 species